AAGACAGUGCGGUCAGGGGGCCCCCCAAAGACAGAUUUAUAAUGGGGUCCAGAACUAGGGUGUCCAGGAUAUAUAAAAAAUAUAAGCUAUCCUCACCCCCACAAGUCUGAAUUGGGGGAUGGGAUACAUGGGGCAGGGCCAUUGAG